CGCUUAUUGAUAAUAAUUUUAAGUCAAUCUGCCCAAUGAAUUUAAUUAAAUGGCUGCAGUAUAAAUAACUGUACAAAGGUAGCAUAAUCAAUUGAUUUUUAAAUGAAAUCUGGAAUAAAAGAAUUAAUGAAAUAUAUACUGUCUCAUAUAUAUAAUAUAAAUUUAAAUUUUUAAUAAAAAUGUUAAAAUUUAUUUAUGGGACGAUAAGACCCUAUAGAAUUUUAUAUUAAAUUAUUUUUAUAAAUAUUAAAUAUAAAAUUUAAAUUAAUAUUUAAUUGGGAGAAUUAUUAAAUUUAAAAAAUUUUAAUUAAAAAAAACUUAAAUUAAAGAAUAUAUUUUGAUCUUUAAAUUAAAAUUAAUAGAAUAAAUUACCUUAGGGAUAACAGCGUUAUAUUUUUUUAUAGAUCACAUAGAAAAAAAUGAUUGCGACCUCGAUGUUGAAUUAAGAUAAAUUUUAAAUGUAGAAAUUUAAUAAUUAAGUCUGUUCGACUUUUAAAAUCUUACAUGAUUUGAGUUCAAAUCGACGUAAGU
rnacentral:rRNA from 2 species